GGGGCGGAGCGAGCGUUGUUCGGAAUUAUUGGGUGUAAAGGGUGCGCAGGCGGUCUGCUAAGUCGGGUGGGUGAAAUUUCUACGGCUCAACCGAGAAACUGCCUUCGAUACUGGUGGACUUGAGUACGGAAGGGGAGCGUGGAAUUCCUGGUGUAGCGGUGAAAUGCGUAGAUAUCAGGAGGAACACCUGUGGCGAAGGCGACGCUCUGGUCCGUAACUGACGCUCAGGCACGAAAGCCAGGGGAGCGAACGGGAUUAGAUACCCCGGUAGUCCUGGCCGUAAACGUUGGGCACUAGGUGUGGGAGGUAUCGACCCCUUCUGUGCCGUAGCUAACGCAUUAAGUGCCUCACCUGGGGAGUACGACCGCAAAGGUUG
rnacentral:rRNA from 1 species